rnacentral:rRNA from 1 species
GACGAACGCUGGCGGCGUGCCUAACACAUGCAAGUCGAGCGGAGUCGAUCGACGGAAGCCUUCGGGCGGAAGAUGGUUGACUUAGCGGCGGAUGGGUGAGUAACGCGUGGGCAACCUGCCUCGAAGACCGGGAUAACAGCCCGAAAGGGCUGCUAAUACCGGAUGUGGUCAAAGAUCCGCAUGGAUUUUUGAUUAAAGGGGAAACCCGUUUCGAGAUGGGCCCGCGUCCUAUCAGCUAGUUGGUGAGGUAAAAGCUCACCAAGGCGACGACGGGUAGCCGGCCUGAGAGGGUGACCGGCCACACUGGAACUGAGACACGGUCCAGACUCCUACGGGAGCAGCAGUAGGGAAUAUUGGGCAAUGGGCGAAAGCCUGACCCAGCCAUGCCGCGUGAAGGAAGACGGCCUUAUGGGUUGUAAACUUCUUACUACGCGAAUAGAGGUUAGUACGAGAUACUAAUAGGAAGUAGUGUAGUAAAAAGAACCGGCUAACUCCGUGCCAAGGCAGCCGCGGUAAGAUCACG